AAAUUGAAGAGUUUGAUCAUGGCUCAGAUUGAACGCUGGCGGCAGGCCUAACACAUGCAAGUCGAGCGGUAGCACGGGGGAGCUUGCUCCCUGGGUGACGAGCGGCGGACGGGUGAGUAAUGUCUGGGAAACUGCCUGAUGGAGGGGGAUAACUACUGGAAACGGUAGCUAAUACCGCAUAACCUCGCAAGAGCAAAGAGGGGGACCUUCGGGCCUCUCGCCAUCAGAUGUGCCCAGAUGGGAUUAGCUAGUAGGUGAGGUAAUGGCUCACCUAGGCGACGAUCCCUAGCUGGUCUGAGAGGAUGACCAGCCACACUGGAACUGAGACACGGUCCAGACUCCUACGGGAGGCAGCAGUGGGGAAUAUUGCACAAUGGGCGCAAGCCUGAUGCAGCCAUGCCGCGUGUGUGAAGAAGGCCUUCGGGUUGUAAAGCACUUUCAGCGGGGAGGAAGGCGGUAAGGUUAAUAACCUUAUCGAUUGACGUUACCCGCAGAAGAAGCACCGGCUAACUCCGUGCCAGCAGCCGCGGUAAUACGGAGGGUGCAAGCGUUAAUCGGAAUGACUGGGCGUAAAGCGCACGCAGGCGGUCUGUUAAGUUGGA
rnacentral:rRNA from 1 species